UACGUAGGGGGCUAGCGUUGUCCGGAAUCAUUGGGCGUAAAGCGCGUGUAGGCGGUCCGGUAAGUCCGCUGUGAAAGUCGGGGGGCUCAACCCUCGGAUGCCGGUGGAUACUGUCGGGCUUGAGUACGGAAGAGGCGAGUGGAAUUCCUGGUGUAGCGGUGAAAUGCGCAGAUAUCAGGAGGAACACCAAUUGCGAAGGCAGGUCUCUGGGCCACUACUGACGCUGAGAAGCGAAAGCAUGGGGAGCGAACAGG
rnacentral:rRNA from 1 species